AAAUGAAUAGACGGGGACCCGCACAAGCGGUGGAUGAUGUGGUUUAAUUCGAUGCAACGCGAAAAACCUUACCCACCUUUGACAUGUAUGGAAGAUCGCAGAGACGCGAUUGUGCUCGAAAGAGAGCCAUAACACAGGUGCUGCAUGGCUGUCGUCAGCUCGUGUCGUGAGAUGUUGGGUUAAGUCCCGCAACGAGCGCAACCCUUGUCAUUAGUUGCUACAUUUAGUUGGGCACUCUAAUGAGACUGCCGGUGACAAACCGGAGGAAGGUGGGGAUGACGUCAAGUCCUCAUGGCCCUUAUAGGUGGGGCUACACACGUCAUACAAUGGCUGGUACAAAGGGUUGCCAACCCGCGAGGGGGAGCUAAUCCCAUAAAGCCAGUCGUAGUCCGGAUCGUAGUCUGCAACUCGACUACGUGAAGUCGGAAUCGCUAGUAAUCGUGGAUCAGAAUGUCACGGUGAAUACGUUCCCGGGUCUUGUACACACCGCCCGU
rnacentral:rRNA from 1 species